AAAGCCUGACGCAGCGACGCCGCGUGAGGGAUGAAGGUUUUCGGAUCGUAAACCUCUGUCAGAAGGGAAGAAACCGCACCGUGCUAAUCAGCGGUGCCUUGACGGUACCUUCAAAGGAAGCACCGGCUAACUCCGUGCCAGCAGCCGCGGUAAUACGAAGGGGGCUAGCGUUGCUCGGAAUCACUGGGCGUAAAGCGCACGUAGGCGGAUCGUUAAGUCAGGGGUGAAAUCCUGGGGCUCAACCUCAGAACUGCCCUUGAUACUGGCGAUCUCGAGUUCGAGAGAGGUUGGUGGAACUCCGAGUGUAGAGGUGAAAUUCGUAGAUAUUCGGAAGAACACCAGUGGCGAAGGCGGCCAACUGGCUCGAUACUGACGCUGAGGUGCGAAAGCGUGGGGAGCAAACA
rnacentral:rRNA from 1 species